rnacentral:rRNA from 1 species
GACGGGGGAUGCAAGCGUUAUCCGGAAUCACUGGGCGUAAAGCGUCUGUAGGUGGUGAUGCAAGUCACUGGUGCAAAACUCUGGCUCAACCGGAGGAAAGCCAGUGAAACUGCAUGACUAGAGUGUGGGAGAGGUAGAAGGAAUUCCCUGAGUAGCGGUGAAAUGCGUAGAUACAGGGAAGAACACCGGAGGCUAAUGCGUUCUACUGUACCACAACUGACACUUAGAGACGUAAGCUAGGGGAGCGAAUGGG